rnacentral:rRNA from 1 species
CGCGUUAAGUCGACCGCCUGGGGAGUACGGCCGCAAGGUUAAAACUCAAAUGAAUUGACGGGGGCCCGCACAAGCGGUGGAGCAUGUGGUUUAAUUCGAUGCAACGCGAAGAACCUUACCUGGUCUUGACAUCCACGGAAGUUUUCAGAGAUGAGAAUGUGCCUUCGGGAACCGUGAGACAGGUGCUGCAUGGCUGUCGUCAGCUCGUGUUGUGAAAUGUUGGGUUAAGUCCCGCAACGAGCGCAACCCUUAUCCUUUGUUGCCAGCGGUUAGGCCGGGAACUCAAAGGAGACUGCCAGUGAUAAACUG